UACGUAGGGGGCAAGCGUUGUCCGGAUUUAUUGGGCGUAAAGCGCACGUAGGCGGCCUCAUAAGUCGGAUGUGAAAUCCCACGGCUCAACCGUGGAAGUGCAUCCGAAACUGCGAGGCUCGAGUAUGGAAGAGGGUCGCAGAAUUCCCGGUGUAGAGGUGAAAUUCGUAGAUAUCGGGAGGAAUACCAGUGGCGAAGGCGGCGACCUGGGCCAAUACUGACGCUGAGGUGCGAAAGCGUGGGGAGCAAACAGG
rnacentral:rRNA from 1 species